rnacentral:rRNA from 1 species
UACGUAAGCGUUGAUCCAGAGAUUUCCGAAUGGGGGAACCCACUAUCUUUAGUCGGAUAGUAUCCUUACGUGAAUACAUAGCGUGAGGAAGGCAGACCCAGGGAACUGAAACAUCUAAGUACCUGGAGGAAGAGAAAGAAAAAUCGAUUUCCUGAGUAGCGGCGAGCGAAACGGAAAGAGCCCAAACCAAGAAGCUUGCUUCUUGGGGUUGUAGGACACUCUAUACGGAGUUACAAAAGAAAGUUAUAAAUGAAGCGGUCUGGAAAGGCCCGCCAAAGACGGUAACAGCCCGGUAGUUGAAAUGGCUUUCCCUCCAGAGUGGAUCCUGAGUACGGCGGAACACGUGAAAUUCCGUCGGAAUCCGGGAGGACCAUCUCCCAAGGCUAAAUACUCCCUAGUGACCGAUAGUGAACCAGUACCGUGAGGGAAAGGUGAAAAGCACCCCGGAAGGGGAGUGAAACAGUUCCUGAAACCGUGUGCCUACAAGUAGUUAGAGCCCGUUAAUGGGUGAUAGCGUGCCUUUUGUAGAAUGAACCGGCGAGUUACGAUUUGUUGCAAGGUUAAGCGGAAAAAGCGGAGCCGUAGCGAAAGCGAGUCUGAAUAGGGCGCAUAAGUAACAGGUCGUAGACCCGAAACCAGGUGAUCUACCCAUGUCCAGGAUGAAGGUAAGGUAAUACUUACUGGAGGUCCGAACCCACGCACGUUGAAAAGUGCGGGGAUGAGGUGUGGGUAGCGGAGAAAUUCCAAUCGAACUUGGAGAUAGCUGGUUCUCUCCGAAAUAGCUUUAGGGCUAGCCUCGAGGUAAAGAGUCAUGGAGGUAGAGCACUGUUUGGACUAGGGGCCCUUCUCGGGUUACCGAAUUCAGAUAAACUCCGAAUGCCAUGUACUUAUACUCGGGAGUCAGACUGCGAGUGAUAAGAUCCGUAGUCGAAAGGGAAACAGCCCAGACCACCAGUUAAGGUCCCCAAAUAUAUGUUAAGUGGAAAAGGAUGUGGGGUUGCUUAGACAACCAGGAUGUUGGCUUAGAAGCAGCCACCAUUGAAAGAGUGCGUAAUAGCUCACUGGUCGAGUGACCCCGCGCCGAAAAUGUACCGGGGCUAAACAUAUUACCGAAACUGUGGAUGAACCUCUUUAGAGGUUCGUGGUAGGAGAGCGUUCUAAGGGCGGUGAAGUCAGACCGGAAGGACUGGUGGAGCGCUUAGAAGUGAGAAUGCCGGUAUGAGUAGCGAAAGAAGGGUGAGAAUCCCUUCCACCGAAUAUCUAAGGUUUCCUGAGGAAGGCUCGUCCGCUC